rnacentral:rRNA from 1 species
UGGAGGCAGCAGUGGGGAAUUUUGGACAAUGGGGGCAACCCUGAUCCAGCCAUGCCGCGUGCGGGAAGAAGGCCUUCGGGUUGUAAACCGCUUUUGUCCGGGAAGAAAAGGCCCAGGUUAAUACCUUGGGUUCUUGACGGUACUGGAAGAAUAAGCACCGGCUAACUACGUGCCAGCAGCCGCGGUAAUACGUAGGGUGCGAGCGUUAAUCGGAAUUACUGGGCGUAAAGCGUGCGCAGGCGGUUCGCUGUGUCGGAUGUGAAAGCCCCGGGCUCAACCUGGGAACGGCAUUCGAAACUGGCGGGCUGGAGUGUGGCAGAGGGGGGUGGAAUUCCGCGUGUAGCAGUGAAAUGCGUAGAGAUGCGGAGGAACACCGAUGGCGAAGGCAGCCCCCUGGGCUGACACUGACGCUCAGGCACGAAAGCGUGGGGAGCAAACAGGAUUAGAUACCCCGGUAGU